AACGAACGCUGGCGGCAUGCCUAACACAUGCAAGUCGAGCGAGAUCUUCGGGUCUAGUGGCGCACGGGUGCGUAACGCGUGGGAAUCUGCCCUUGGUUCGGAAUAACAGUUGGAAACGACUGCUAAUACCGGAUGAUGACGAAAGUCCAAAGAUUUAUCGCCAGAGGAUGAGCCCGCGUAGGAUUAGCUAGUUGGUGUGGUAAAGGCGCACCAAGGCGACGAUCCUUAGCUGGUCUGAGAGGAUGAUCAGCCACACUGGGACUGAGACACGGCCCAGACUCCUACGGGAGGCAGCAGUGGGGAAUAUUGGACAAUGGGCGAAAGCCUGAUCCAGCAAUGCCGCGUGAGUGAUGAAGGCCUUAGGGUUGUAAAGCUCUUUUACCCGGGAUGAUAAUGACAGAACCGGGAGAAUAAGCUCCGGCUAACUCCGUGCCAGCCGCCGCGGUAA
rnacentral:rRNA from 1 species